GAAAGAAGAAGGACGUCCACGAGCGCAGAAAUUGAUACGCCCCUGGAGAGGAAAAAAGGGGGACAGAGAUGCUUGGAGGGGAAGAGGGACUGCAAUCUUCAGGAUCACGUACAUAGGACACAGGUAAAUUUCCUUUUCUUCUUUUAUUGGUACCAUAGAUAAUCUAGUGAAGUAGUAUAUUUGACUAGGGAGAUUGAGUAGCAUUCAGUUAACAGUACAUACAAGUUCAAAUAAAAAUCAGUUGCAACUUGGAAUUCUAACACACAUGAGAUAAAACUCGCAAGAACAAAAUUAAUUAGGUUGGCUUCGGUUGAUUGAGAAAGAAUUGAUUUUGUCCUCUCAUCAAACUAGUGUUAGAGGUCCCAAUUGCCCCUUGCACUGACGGAUUCAACACCGAAUGUUGCCGUUGUAAAUAUGUAUGCAUGUGAUUUGUUGGAUGACCCUGUGUAGAAAAUAAGAAAAGUUCAGUUUCAUUUAGGAUAUAAAAGUACAAUACUUAUUUUCAACUUCAAAAAAUUAGAAUACUUGAAAUGGAAGUGUGGACAGAUUAUACCACUUGAGUAUUGUGUGGUUCUUGGGUCUGCGGUGGCAUUGGGAUGGUAUGACCACUUGAUUGCAACAUUGAAGCAUUUAGGAUAGAUGUUGGAUUCGAUUGAUGGAGGAAGUCGUGUUUAUCUCCUAUCACCAAACCAUAGUCAGAGGCCCCAAUGGUCCCUUGCAGCGAGGUGUACAUAUUAUUUGUCGGAUGACUCUGUGAACAAAGCAAAGUUCAGUUGCACUGACGUUUAAAAAUUAGGAAAACUUGAAAGUGUGGACUACUUCUACCAUUGUUGUAUUGUAUGGUUGGAAUCUAGCCAACGGUUGUUGGGUUUGUGCUGCCAUAGGGAUUACAUUACUAAUUGAUGGUUGCAUUGAAUCCCUUAGCAUAGCAUUGUAGUGCAAUUGAUAUGCAGCCAUUUGAUUCGUCAAAAAUUCCAUAGGACCCUAUAGGAGAUGAUAGAUGAAAGUUAGCACAAGUGAGGUUUUAUAAGAAACAAGCAACAAAGUAUUAUUACCGUUGAUGAGUCAUGGGACUGUAGUUGUACAGUACCAUUUGUCUCCUUCUUCUUCUUUAAAGUUGCUUUCUUCGAAGGUCCCUGACGAAAAUGAUAGAUAUAGCUCAGUACGUUGAAUGUUCUAUAGGAAUCAAGUGACAAAAAAUAAUACCAUUGAGGGGCCAUGAUGUUCUAGUUGCACAAUAUCAUUUGUGUUCUUCUUCUUCUUUGAAGUUGCUUUCUCAAAUCCACCAACGGGUCUUUUCGAUCCUUUCACAGUCUUCUCCUUGACCUUCAUACCUUUUGGUUUUGCAAGCCCCUCAUCGUGUUUUGAAAUUCUACUAGAAGGGAUGUUCACUGCAGCCACUGUAAUGCUAAAUAUCAGUCUUUGUUUUACAAUAGUCUAGGCAUUUAUUGUUAGUAUAAUUUGUACCUUCUUUAGUACAUGAGUUACCCAAAUCUUGAUCAGCGCUAACCAAAUCUUGACCAGUGCUAACAAAAUCUGGAUCAGCCCUGAGCUUCAAGUAUUUCUCCACAUCUUGUGCUAAUUGCUCUGCACACUUAGCAGCCUUAUUGUAUGAUUCUUCUGACUCGGCGGCACGAGCAGCUAUUUUCACAAAUAUUCUGCACAGUUCCUUGUAUCGAUUAGACAUUCUUGCUUUUAGGUUAUCAUACUGGUUGCAUUUGCUUGUUAUAUCUAGAACUUUGGCAUCUAUCGUCCAUCUUUUCAAGAUAUAUUCCCCAGGGAUAUGCUUGAUAUUAUUGAUAUCAAGUACCUUUAAGCAAUGAGAGCAAAGAAUUUCAGCAAACUCAAACCUUUUGCAACUGCAGCUAAUCUUUUCUUCUUUUGGAAUGAAUCUAACAACAUGUUCACGUUGUGUGCCAUGAAAUUUUACUACAUAUAUCUUCAGCUCUGUGUCACUUUUAUCACAAAGCAAUGUGUCGUAGUUUAGAGUCCGAAGCACUUGAUCUGGAACCAUCUUGAAUAUUGCUGGAGUAUAUGUAGCUGCAGCUUGUUUUAACAUAUAAUUAGAUUCAGCCUUCAACUUGGGAGUAGUCUGUGUUGCUUUGAAGUCAUACUUCACCUCUUCACAUCUUUUAUCCGACACUAGCCGUUCAAAAUGCUCAAAGAAAGUAAGCAUGUCAUAUUUUAUACUGAUGUAUCUCUUUAGUUCAUUAUUCAUGCUUUCACUUCUUUGGGUAGUGCUCAUGUGGGCAGAGAACGUACAUUUACCAUACACUAGUGCCCAGUGUUCCUUUUUCUCAAAUAGCCUUUGCAGCCAUUCAUUGUCACGCAGUCCAUACUUGUCAAUCAUUUUAUCCCAUGCGCCUACAAAUUCAUCCUCCUCUUCUAUAUCAUAUAUACAGUGCUGAAAAUCAACAUUGAACUUCUUAUAUUCGUCAACAACUCCGGCCAGGUGCUUGCAAGCAUUUUGAUUCAUAUGCCACACACAAAGUCUAUGAUGAGAGUGAGGGAAGACUUCACGAGGUCACCUACCUUUUUCUCCAUGUAUUCUAAUACUCCCCCUGUGUCACCUACCUUCGCUUUUAUUGUUCUCUUUGAGUACAAACGGUUUUUCAUAUCUUGAGGUGUAAAGCCAAGGUUUUCACUUCCACCUGCUUCUUUGGCCAUCAAAUCGAUUGUUGCUUUAUUUGAAAUGCCAACUGACUUUGCGACCUCUGCAUUUGCUAUCUGUGCUUCUGUCACUUUUCUCUGGGAUCUCAAGUAUUGGGCCAUGAUUCCAUUAGCAAGAUUAUGGUUAUGUGACGCCUCAAAUUCAUACACAUAAUAAAAUCCAUCUCUAAGGCUAAUCUUCAUACGGGCAUCACAACCACAUCGUGUUUCAGGCCUACUGUAAGUGAAUGUGUCCUCUCUUUUAUCUUCCCGGCGAUGACCUAUAAGUUGUUGUAAAUGUCUUAGCAGAUAAAGAAGUGAUUAGAACUAAAACAUGAAAGUAAACCAUACCUUGACGAGAGCAUGUAAAUGUCCGUUGCUGCAUUGUAGAAGAGUUCAUCACUUUAUGGCCACUGCUUCUUCUGAUGCUAAAACCGAUAGUUUUAGCAUACUUGUUAUAAAAUAAAUAAGCUUCCUCUUCAGAUAAAAAUUUCAUGCCAAGCUUUGGUACCCUUCCGUCAUCUACUGCAGUUUCUUGAUCCUAUGUCAGUUAGGAUUCAAUUUAGUCCAUGAACUAUAUGCAUUGUAAAAGGAACAGAAAUAAACUGUAGUGGGUGUUUUCCAAAAACUGAAAUCUGAGAUGGUACAAAAAGUCUGAAUGUGCAACUAAAUGUGAAAAUGCAACGAAACUAAAUUUCCGUUGUUGUUUGGCUUUUGCAGCUUGCGGCUUUUGUCGCUGAUUCAUCAUCAGAACCGAGUGAGAUUUCUUACUUUAGGUGCGUGAGAUUGUUCAUCAACGUCCUGAUUCUCUGGAACACUCCUUGGAGAAGCCGUCAGGGAUGCAAGACUCGGAGAAGCCAUCGGGGGUGGAGAUUCCUUUGCUACUCAAUUCAAGAGAAGAAUUUCUUGAUUCAUGGUUAGGCCGCCAUUGAUAGUUGUGCGUUUUAAGGCUGUAGGUCACUUCCGUCUAAUAUGAGAAGUAGAUCUUACAUGUUGGCGCCCUUUUUUGUAUUAGGAGGUUCUUUUUCCGGGUGAUUGGAUUCUUUCCCGCUGGUUUGCGUGCAGUUUUAAUGAUGAGAGUAUUACGGAAGGAAAUCA
rnacentral:lncRNA from 1 species